UCUUUCUUCGUCCCCAGGAAGCCAGUUUUCUCUGGGGUUCAGGGAGGCGGAGGACCAAGAGGGGCCCAGAGUCCCUCAGAUGCUGCUUCUUCCAUCCUGACGCUGCCUUUACCUCCUGGCUCAGCUGAACACCCAUCAGAGCCUAGCGCGGGGUGUGGGGCUGCUGCUCCUGGAGUCUGGACAGCCCUCCAGUCGCCCCACUCCAUGGCUCCCAUCCUUACAGAAUGGUGCAGAAGACGCUGCGGUUGCUGUGGUAACCACCUUCCACACGGGCUGUGAUCCUAGUCGCCAUGGCUGUCACCUUCUGCCCACUGUGGGCUGCAGAGGGCCCUCGGAGAGAGCUUUCCAGGAUACAUUCUCGGUUGUUUGAGAUCUGCUGAAAGAUGGUCUUGCUGGUCUUGCCCUGGAAGAUGAUGUUCUCCUGCACCAGGGCCUUGGCGCGGCCCCGCACUGCAAUGCCAUAGGCCCGGAAUGAAUGGAUCCGGUUCUUUAUCACCUGGAAGAGACAGUCAGUCUGUCAUACCUCAGGGACUGUGGGGAGCCAGAUACCGUUGCCCCGGAGCUCCACCUUGCACUGGGCCUCGACCUUGACCCCACUCUGGCGGUUGCAGGAGAUGCUGUUGUUGGUCACGCGGGUGAGCUGGCCGCUCUGGGCCACGGUGAUACCUCUGUCCCCGUUAGCGUGGAUCACAUUGGUGACGACGUGCAGCGCCUCACUGCUCUGGACGUAGAGGCCUGAGGCUAUGGGGUGGAAAGGGUUGGGGAGUAGUCAGGAAAAACUUUCGUGGAACUGUGCACCCCAGGAGAGAAGUGGGGAAGAAGAGGCAGCGACACUCAGAACCAGCCCCUGGGAGUUACACAUCUUUUAAGACGGCUGACAAACUGAGCAGGAGGAAAGCCAGGAACAAGGAAGUGCUGUUCCUUCUGAACAAAGUGCUUAGGAAACAGAAAAGUGAUGCCAGACUCCUUGGGCUCAGCUGCUCGUGCCACCCAGGCUCUCCUCCUGUGCUCGCGCACCUCCCAGGUCACCAUCCUCCUGCUAUUUGCACCUCCUGCGACGGGGUGCUCACUACCUGUUAAAGCUGCCCAUUCCACCUCCACAGAGUUGGAAUCUGCCUCCUGAUUGUUUUGGGACAUACUCUUCAUAAGGGAAAUUCUGUAAUUUUUGAAUACAAAAAUUUAUAAGCUAAAUAUCUAAAAUAUAUUAGAAUUUUGAAAAGAAAAUGGUAUCUGGGAUUGUAUAUGCUUAGAGACACUACAACGCUUUUAGAAAAGCAGCAUAAAAAUCAGCAGGCUUAGAGCCACAUGACUUGGUCAGGAAGAGACAGUGUGGCAGGGGGACCCGGGGGUGAAGAGGACAAUGACUCCCCAGUGGUGACAUGCACCCAGCAUGAGAGCAAGAGGCACUGGCAGUGCUGGGAUGGAGGGGGUGUGCAGAGGCCAACAGUGGUCCUAGGGGAGCCAGGAGUCUGCAAGUUCCAGCCACCUGCCUGCCACUUCUCCUGUCCUGAUGGAGAAGAGCAAAUAUAAAUCAAGUCUCUGUGAAUUUAUGUGACUUUGCCUGUCCCUCAGGGCCAUACGGGGAAAACCCUGAGCUGGGAGGGGACAGAACUCGUUUUCUGCUGGCUCCCACUCUCCCUGCCCUCUGCUGUUCCCAGGGCAGGAGCCUCCGUCGGGAGCCCUGGCCUUGGAUCAACUCUGUACAUUCCCACCACUCCCCCUCGUCUCAAUUCAAUAAACAAUGAAUGAAUGUUAGUUUUUAUCCAGUUUAAGAUAACUGGAUAACCCUUAUUCUCUGUAUAACAAAAAAAAAUUGCCAGUUAAACCAUGAUAUGCCAUCAAUAGCAAAUGCAUGUCCUUAGAUGUUAAGAUGUGGACAAAGUGUCCUAGAAUGAGUUAGAAACAUGUAUGUGGGGUAUGGGACUCGGUGGGGCACCGACAGUGACAGCGAUGAGGUUCAGCUCCUUGCCUCAUGUUCAGAGCCUAUCAGAGCUGACAAAACAGCCACAGAAAACAGCUCCCGUCCCAGGGCCCCCAGUAAGUGAGAGGGUAAGGAUGGAGGGCACAUUCACAGUGGGCUUUGAACUUCAAGUUGUUUGGGCUGUGUAGAUGGGGGAAAGGGAAUUUCAGGCAACAGAAAUAGCAAGAGCUAGGCAGGACUGGAGGUCAGGAAAGAAUGGAUUUACAUUCAGGAAAGAAUGUAAAUCCAGAGGUCUGGGGUAUCAGGUGAAAGGCCAAAAAAGCGAGAAGGGUACCUACGGCAGUGUGAGCACGGAAGGCUCUGGAGCAGGGACACACUCACCUCCAUUGUGGUUAAUACUGUUUGACUCAACGAGAGCUAUGGUGACAGGCCGGCGCAGCGGGUCGUCAUCCUUCUCCAGCUCCGGCUCCCAAAGGAUGGCAUCUCCGUCCUCACUGAAGUUCUCCUGGGCUCCAUGACCUCCAGGGAACUCACCAGAACCAUCUUUUUGGCUAAACACUGCCACUCCAUACAGGCCAUUGUAGCUGACGUGGUUACUGGUGACGUGGGGCAGGCUGGACGACAUCAUCCACACACCACAGCCCUUAUUAGCUGGGACAGGAAAAGGAGCUGGUCACGGGCCCUGAGCAGUGGGGGAGGCAGCCCCAGUGUCUCCCCAAGAGGGGAAGCAAAGAUGGCACCGGCCUUGGAGACAGAGGCUCUGGUAAGCUAAUGGCCUUGGGUAAGUCACUCUAUGGCUGGAGGCUUCUCCUUCAUAUAAGAGGGUAACAAUCAGGUCAGUCUCACAACCAGAAUCAUCCCAUAGGGUGUAAAAGUGCUCUGGGAACAGUGAAGGCCCCACUUCCAGGUCAGAAGCACACAAGCCCAGAGGGACAGUGCCAAAGGGACCUCAGAGUUCAUCCAGCGCAACCCCAUCCUGCAGAGAGAUGGAGGUGGCCUCUGAGUCCUAGCCCUACCACUUCCUAGCUACGUGACCUUGAGCAGAUUAUAGACUCUCCGUGUCUCAGUUUUCUUAUCUGUACAAUGACCGUAUCUACCUCAGAAGGCAGUCAGGAGGUUUGAAUAUGAUAGUGCAUAUAAAGCACCUAGCAAAGAACACAUGUCAGCUAUUAUUAUUAGAGCUGCAGUCCAGAGGGUAAGGCUUUGCUCGAAGUCACACAUGAGUGAGAACAGUCUCCUUUCUAGGGCUAUCCUAGUUCUUCUUCUAUUAGAUUUCUAGUUCUUUGGAUCAGAAGAAAGGUAAGAGUUAGAUGCCCAUGCGUCAGAGCCUCAAUGGCCCUGUCCUCACACAACUCCCACCUUCUGCUAUUUUAAAUGGGGAUGAAGCUCUCUGUUUUGCUGACCCCUUGGGUUACAAGGAGAUUUAGUAGUGGCUUUUGUAUUCUGAGAGGGGCUGUGUGGCUGUGGCCUGAGACUGACACUGUCCUUCAGGGCGUAUUUGCGGCCCAGGGACAGGCAGUGACUUUCUCCGCACUCACCAGCUAGAGACGGAACCUGGGCUCCCUGCCUCCCUGGCUGGGCUGGACCCCAGACCCCUUCCCCCAGGAAUGGGCGCCUCACCAUAGAUGGUGUUUCCUUCUAUUAGCCCUUUGCCUUCAUCCCCCACAACCACGCCAUCGGAGUAGCCAAAACAGAUGAGGUUGCUCCUGAGGACCGGGACUCCUCCACGGCGGAUGUCUACACCUCCCCAUUGGUUCUCACGGAUGACAUUUUCUACGGAAAGGCAAAGGAGAGGAUCAAGACCCAAGGGCCACCCACAGUGGCCAUGAGGAUUGGACAGCUUGGAAAGGACCUUCUGGACCAGGACACCCAGGCUGCACCCUGUCAACAGCACCCUGAAUCUUGCCUGGUGCUUGACUUUGCAGGGACUGGAGUGCUGUCCGCUCUCCUCCAGGGCAAGGUCUGUAUGUACCCUGUGCUCUCGUGUCUCUAGGACCCACUCUAUCCAGUGGCCUUCGGGACCGACUAAGAAUAGACUGGCCUUGAAGUUCCGGGCCCAAGGCCAGGUAGGGCCGCCUGUAGUGGUGGCUGUUCCUGGAGGGCGGGGGCAGAAUCCAGCCACUUCCCUCUGGUCAGGAGAGGACUGACUGCAGCCUUGCUCCCCUCUCCUCAUCCACCACCUCUGUGGGAGUGGGCUGAAGAGGCCCAAGCUGAGCCCAGGGCUAUGGCUGGACAGACCGCAAUGGCCCUAGAGACCCCGUGUGCCCAGUUCCUUCCUGCCUCUUUGACCCCAUCUCACCCCUUGCCCCACUUCACCACACCCAGUCACAGGAGUGACGUCCCUGCUCCCAGGCAUGCCAGCUGCGUUCCACAGGCAGCUCCGCACAGAAUUCCGGUUCUCUGCCCAGGCUUUGUCCCGUCACUCAGGUCUGGCUUGCAUGUCCCCUUCUCGGAAAGGCCUGCCCUGACCACACAAUCUUAAAUAUACCCACAUAGUUCCUCUAUUACCUUAUUUUAAUUAAUUUC